rnacentral:lncRNA from 1 species
GUGAUGCCUCCAGGCUUGGCGUCACCUGAGUUUUGCCCAAGGUCGAGAAAUGCAUUAUCUGGUUGAUCUUCUGUUGCACAUUUUUGUACUCAGAAGUAUUGCACUUUGCACACGACAGAUCUAUUUAGGCAUUUAAAGUUAUACCAGUAGCUAUGUCAAACCUAGACAUUAUUUCUGUUAUGGUUGCACAUUUUUGUACUUGGAAGUAUUGCACACGACAGAUCUAUUUAGGCAUUUUAUUUUAUACCAGUAGCUAUGUCAAACCUAGACAUUAUGUCUGUUAUGAUUAUCAGCUUCUUUGACAAACAAUUAGUAAAGCAUUAUCAUCACGUCAGGAC